UGGUAUUAUUGAAUCCGUUCGUAGCGGCGGCGUACGUCCCGACACUUAUUUUCCUAACGUACUAGAUGGUUGCUACAGUUAUUCACCGUGGCGUUGUAGGAGCGGGCUCAAGAAAUGCGUUGCCAUCUCUAGAAUUUCAUGUGAGCGCCGUACGUUCCCGCUACGAACGGAUUCAAUAAUACCAGCCAAUGACGUCGGAACAAUAUCAAAAAGAGUGUCUCCAAAAACGAAUUUUGCCAUUCAUUCGAUCCCACGACCAUCCCGUAAUGUUUUGGCCCGAUUUGGCAAGUUGUCAUUACAGUAUAGUCGUUCGAGAAUGGUAUGCAGAGAAAGGGGUCUUGUUUGUUCCGAAAAACCUUAACCCACCCAACUGCCCCCAGUUCCGCCCUAUUGAGAAAUACUGGGCAAUCAUGAAGAGGAGACUCAAGGCAAAGGGAAAGGUUGUCAAAGACAUCAAUCAGAUCAAUGUUAUUAGACUCUACACAGGUUACGAAAAAAGCCCGUUUUGGCCGAUUUCCAAUAAAAAAAUGAAUGAAAAUUUUGACAGACAAAUUGGAAUGGUUUGUUUACAACUGGACUGGUUUGUUUACAAUUUGUCUGGAUUGCAAUCGUGCAAUGGUAUGGUGUUUGGUGUUGAAUCUUGCAAAUUAUAAUUUAUUUAAUUAUUUUGUAACUUUAUAAUUAUUAAUAUUGCGAUGAAUUAACAGCUGUGACAAGAGAGAAAUCGAGUAAGUGAGAAUCUAGUAAAAUAUGCUUUUGUUGUGGUGAAAAGAUCCAACAUGUAGGAGUUUAACAUUGUGUCAGGUAAAACGAUUAUAUCAAGCAAGCAGAAGAUUGCUGUGAAAUCAUUCGCUUCUCAGCAUUAUCAGCAUUACGGACAAGGAGAUAAAUAAGCGAGUGAAGUACCCAGCUAGAAAGCAUAUGUUGGAGGGAAAUGUAUGCAGUUGCUGGAACUUGUGCGAUUUCUCAAGAGGAUGUGCAGUGCAGACACAGUUUAAUCUUACGAGUUUCCUUUCCGUCCAACAACAGUUCAGUAGCUAUGAAGAGGGAGGGGAGCAAAGUGCCGUUUCUUCCCAAAGCAAUCACUGUUCAUUAUAGGGAACGAAUUCUUUUACCGCCCGGAUGUAACUGCAGCAUCAGCAGAGGGAGAAGCUGCUCAUAUAUACCGUCAUAUAGAGAUAAACCGUUAGCUGGUCAACACAUGUAUUGGCGUAUCCCUGUGGAUCCAACAGUGCCGCGUGAUGGGUCCAGCACACACAUAACCAACUCCAUAGCCCAUAGCAUAGCCCGACUCCAGUGUGUGAUCUGGUUGCAUAAUCAGUUCUGACGCGCAGACUGGAUGCACGUGAUCAUACGUCAUCUACUAUCUCAGCUCAUUAAUGAACAAUGAAAGACAGUCAAUCUCAUAUCGAAGCAAACCACUAAUAAUCAAAACUUGAGAAGCAUAUCGACGAUCGUGGGGAUCAUUAAACCAAACAUACGACACCGAAUUUCAUACGGGAGAAGAGUAGCACCCGAUUGCCCCAAGAGCCGCCUAACGGUUAAACGCUUUCAACCCUGUCAGUUCAUACCAGACUAACUGGGUGCCAAACAAUGCUCGCGUAUUCUAAAGCAGGUUAGACUAAGCUACAGUAAAUGGUUUUGAGGCAAUAGGGUAACGCAAAUCAUGCAUCAUCAAUGAUUCCGACCCACAAGUGGAGCGGGUGUGCUAGAUCGGAGUCGGAAACAAAUCCGACCCUACCUCGGGGACCUACUACCGUAAGGACUUCAAGUUCACUCGAAUGAUAAGUAGUUGUAAGAAAGCAUAAACGACUCCGAUCCACUGGUGCAGCGAGUUUGGGUCAGGUCAAAGUAGGUUUAAUACCCGACCCGUACUCGCUGCACCAAUGGGCCGGAAUCGCUUAUGCUUUAGGAUUCGUAUCUACCGAAAUCGUGGCACAUACUACAUCUAUUUGUACGUUUCGGGUUGACCCGCACGGCUACGGGAUGCUUCGGAUUGCUCCGACCCGGUGAGUUCCAGUUGCCCCGACUUUCACUAGUGUGUGUAUGGAAGAACGUGCGUGAGUUGUCGAAUCGCUGACCAAGGAGUAGGAGAAGGUAAAAGUGAGUUAAUGUUUAACAAGCCCGUUGUAACAAAAAUAAUUAGGAAAAAAACUUCAAAUAUAUUUGUGUUUUUUGGUAGCAUUUAUCAAAUACGAUUUUCCUCUAUAACAUUGACAAUAUGUUAUUUUCAUAACUUUCGUCACAACAAUUUACGCAAUCACAAAAUAUUAUAUAAAUAAACACUAUGUACAAAACAUUUUGAUACUCAUACUGUACGGGCCGUACACCAGCAGCACCGUGCACCCCUACCGAGAGCACCUACUUGAUCAACCUUUUUACACACUCUCUUUUCUGCCGUGCAAUGCACUCGCCUCACACAAAUGUGGGAAUUUGUAAGCUAUGAUCCCCCUACCUAUGUAUGUCACCUAUGUACCCACCACAAAUGCUUCAAACAUCAUAUUCGCUCUGUAUUGUACUUGACUCGAGCACAAAUGAAAUGGACCCCCGCCGUUGUUUAACACUGCCGGGACGACAAUUAUCUCUCGUCUUUUCGCUCUAGCACUUAAAUUAAGCUGCACCCGAGUUGGCAUGAAUUCUCUACCACUGGAACAAGACAACAGCACGAACAUUCUUUUGCUAUGAUACGGAACUGAAACGGGAGCAGCAUAGACGAUCACCCUGAACUCGAUGAUUGUGGCGAAUCGGCAUGGAGCCUCGCCGCUUCCCACACAUCGCAGUAGGGUCGCGUUCAGGACUGCAUAAUUUCUAACCCUUUUUAUCAAUGCUGCUGCUAGAUGGCAUAAAUCCUCGUCCCCAGAAGCUGUAACUGCAAUUUCAAACCUGGA